GAUGAAGAACGUAGCGAAAUGCGAUACUUGGUGUGAAUUGCAGAAUCCCGUGAACCAUCGAGUCUUUGAACGCAAGUUGCGCCCGAAGCCACUAGGCCGAGGGCACGCCUGCCUGGGCGUCACACGCCGUUGCCCCCCCAUCUACUCCUUCGGGAUUGCGGGGGGGCGGAUGAUGGCCUCCUGUGCGCCUAGCCGCGCGGUUGGCAUAAAUACCAAGUCCUCGGCGACGCACGCCACGACAAUCGGUGGUUGCGAAACCUCGGUUGCCCGUCGUGUGCGUUCGUCGCGCAUCGAGGGCUCGAAAAAAUGCUUGGCUCCGGCUGGGCUUUCAACGCGACCCCAGGUCAGGCGGGGUUACCCGCUGAAUUUAAGCAUAUCAAUAAGCGGAGGA
rnacentral:misc_RNA from 1 species